GUCAGAGCUGCCUGAGAGGAGGAGAUUGGCAGAUGAGAGCAGCUGAAGACAAUGAGUGCAGCAAGACAGCCACCUAGCUGUAGUGCAGAUGGUGUAAAGAGAGGCGGGGCUGAUUAAAACCAACGUUCGGCCUGGGAUGUGAAAUGGACAGCUCCUCACAUUGUGUGGCAGGAGGCCGAGGAAGAGCCAUUCAUUUUCCUGAGAUCGGAAAUCUGAGGAACAGACACAUCAGCCUUGUCUACACUAGGAAAGAGUCAGUUUUCCUGCUCCAGUUCAGCUCUGCUGGCAGUAGGAAGGGUGGGAGACAGGGUGCACGUUUAUGAGCAUGCCAUCUAACCCUGCACAGCAGAGCAGAUUUGCUACAGGCAACAUCCCAAUACCAUCACUCAUGCUGAGUAGUACCUGGUUCCUGGCUGCUCACACUGUCGUCAGUGAGACCCCUUACACACUAAUUAGCAUGAGAAAAUGUCUCAGAACCAGGAUCUGCGGGAGUGGUGGCUGUUCACAAACACUUCUGUUUCCCUGGUCAGUUUUACACCAGUCUCUGGACUCGUGGAGCUGGAUUCUGAUGACACCAGCAUAACUUGGAAGGAACUCUGUUAAGGAAAAUGGAGUUACAUUAGUGUAAAACCAGUAU